UAUACGGAGUGCUGGAAUGGAGAAUGUGUGUCACAGUUGGAGGGGAGAUCAGGAACUGAAGACAUCACAUGUUGAAUCCAGUUGUUCCUUGGUACCCUUGUGAACUGAGAGGCUGAAAGCAUACAGAGAAAUCUUGCAUUUUGGAUUUAAGAGAACAGCAGAGCCUAGCCAUUUCAACCUGGGAGGACAGUCAUCCAUCUGGGGGACCAAGAAGAGAAGACAUCACCUGGGAAGCAGAGGCAAGUUGCAGUGGAUCAGUGGAAUUACCGAGUAAGUUUUUGGCUGCCUCUUUGACCCUAGAAUUGAUGUAAACAUUCCCACCUAUCCCCUCCUCCCAACACCGCAUUUGGAAUAUUUACCCCUAGGUCAGGAACAAGCAAAGUUUCCUAGUGAUCCUGCAGGGAUUUAUCACACAGCCUUGGCACGUUGAGGGUCAGAAAGGAAGCCAUCAAGACUUGUUGGAGCUGGUGUGUGCUUUCCAGAGAAUUGUGUUCUGACAGAGGCACAUUCACUGGGGAAGGCUGAACCAUGCCACAUGGCAGUAAAUGGCACAUGUUCCUACUAAGUCCUUUUGUUUCUAUGUGCUCACUUGCU
rnacentral:lncRNA from 1 species